rnacentral:sRNA from 1 species
CAGGUUGGGGAUGCCUCAGACUUGUGAUGGGACUGGGCAGAUGCAUCUGGGAAG